UGGGAUCUGCCCUUCUCAGUGCACCAAAUUGUGGCAGGUGCAGUGGCUCACUAGAAGUGCCAGGCAUGGUGACACUAAAGUGCCUGGAAUCCCAGCACUUUGGGAGGCCGAGGUGAGAAGAUCACUUGAGCCCAGGAGUUCAAGACCAGCCCAGGCAACAUGGCAAGACCCUAUUUCUACAAAAAGAUUUUUAAAAUAAAAUAAAAU
rnacentral:lncRNA from 1 species